UCUAAGUAUAAAGCAAUUAUACGGCGAAACUGCGAAUGGCUCAUUAUAUAAGUUAUCGUUUAUUUGAUAGUACCUUACUACUUGGAUAACCGUGGUAAUUCUAGAGCUAAUACAUGCUAAAAACCCCGACUUCGGAAGGGGUGUAUUUAUUAGAUUAAAAACCAAUGCCCUUCGGGGCUCCUUGGUGAUUCAUGAUAACUUCUCGAAUCGCAUGGCCUUGCGCCGGCGAUGGUUCAUUCAAAUUUCUUCCCUAUCAACUUUCGAUGUUUGGGUAUUGGCCAAACAUGGUUGCAACGGGUAACGGAGGGUUAGGGCUCGACCCCGGAGAAGGAGCCUGAGAAACGGCUACUACAUCCAAGGAAGGCAGCAGGCGCGCAAAUUACCCAAUCCCGACUCGGGGAGGUAGUGACAAUAAAUACUGAUACAGGGCUCUUUAGGGUCUUGUAAUUGGAAUGAGUACAAUUUAAAUCCCUUAACGAGGAACAAUUGGAGGGCAAGUCUGGUGCCAGCAGCCGCGGUAAUUCCAGCUCCAAUAGCGUAUAUUAAAGUUGUUGUGGUUAAAAAGCUCGUAGUUGAACCUUGGCCUCGGCCGGCCGGUCCGCCUCACCGCGUGCACUGGCUCGGCCGGGGCUUUCCCUCUGUGGAACCCCAUGCCCUUCACUGGGCGUGGCGGGGAAACAGGACUUUUACUUUGAAAAAAUUAGAGUGCUUCAGGCAGGCCUAUGCUCGAAUACAUUAGCAUGGAAUAAUAAAAUAGGACGUGCGGUUCUAUUUUGUUGGUUUCUAGGACCGCCGUAAUGAUUAAUAGGGACAGUCGGGG
rnacentral:rRNA from 1 species